CUCUCUCUCUCUCUGUCUCGCGCUCUCCUCUCUCUUCUCUUCUCUCCCCUCUGGUCUCCCUCGUCUUCCCUCCCCCCCCACACCCCUUCUUCCUCCCCUCGGCUGCUCCUGCUUUUCGCAUCACACACACUAUAUAAAUAUACGCGGAGAUGCCCAGAUACAUUCAUGCGCUGCGCACACAGGAUACUUGCUCCCGGGAGAUAAGAGCGAGCUAGGAACAAUGCCGGGGUCCACGCCCGGCGCCCGCGCCCUGAUUCCCGAGAUACGUUCAUUAAUGCUUUUUCCAGCCGGAGACAAAUUUUGGGGGGGGGGGGUGCAGAAGAGUUUACUCGGGCUGGGGAUAACCUGGAGCCUACUGUCCUGGAAGACCUGGACGCAAACCGAAGCAGACCAACCAUUAAAAAGUGCAUCCAAUGGACAUUCUUCCACUCGGGCCCUCGACUGCGGAGUCGCGCAAACUCCCGGAGCGGCUCACGCAACUACGCGGGCUCCUGCGGUUUCGGACGGAGCUCGGCCGUCGGGGGCGGGGACUCGGCUCCCAGCGCGCGGUUAGCGGAGGGACGCCCUCGGGGCGGUGCGCGCCGGUCCCUCAGCUACUGGAGAGCUCCCGGCUCCGGGAUCCGCGGCACCCCAGGCCACUUAUCCGCGCCAUCUAGGGUCAAACCCCUCGCGCAUACCCCGACCCAAGGGCCCAAACCCUUGCGCCCGGGCGCCCGGGCCAGUGCUGCCUAUGCAGUGCCACCUUUGGCCCCAAGAAACCUACGGUACAGCGAGACGAUCCCUCCAGGCUGUCCGGCAGGUCUCCAGAACACAGCUUGCAACAUCCCCGCACCGACCCAGACCUCUCCCAGCCCAGACUCUGUCGACCUUCAAAUGACAACAAGGCUUUCAGGAGGGAGCAGGGAGACUGCUUCCCACCAGGACCUGACCAGAAACCCGGCACCCUCAGCCUCAUUCUCCCUCUUUCAGGCAGAAAGACCGCCAAUCUACCACAGGAGGCCCCCUUCUCGGUGCUGGGCAAACACUGAGGUCAUUAAUGGCCACCCCAGGCCAGGCAGUGGCUCCCCCUUCUAGGGCUUGUGAAGGCACCUCUGUGGCAAAACAUUGGCCAGGCUUCUCUUUCCAACUCCUCUUCUGCCUGGCAACUACCUGCCUUCACUGCUUUGAUCAGUAAGUCACCCCAACGUCCCUAGCAUCCUUGCCUCUCCUCUUGGGAGAACUCCAUGUGGAACUAAAUUAAAAUGAGGACUUAUCCUCCUGUUUGAACUGUG